rnacentral:rRNA from 1 species
GUGAAAUUUUUAAUGUAAGGGAAAUUCUUAAGAAAUCUGUUGAGACUAAAAAAUUUAGGUAAAAAACCAGGAUUAGAUACCCUGUUAUUCUAAAUAAUAAUGUAAAUAGGGUAGUAAAAGUUGUUCUUCAAACCCAAAGAUUUUGGCGGCAUCUUAUCCUAAUAGAGGAGCUUGUCCUAUAAUUGAUAGUCCCCAUUUUAUCUUACCCUUUUUUGUUAAGCUUGUAUACCGCCGUUGUCAGAUUACUUUAAAAGAACGUUUUCAGGAAAAAUAUUUUUCUUACUUCAGGUCAAGGUGCAGUUUAUAGAAGGGCAGUGAUGAGCUACAAUUUUUAAUAGAAAUACGGAUUUUAGGCUUAAAACUCAGGUGAAGGUGGAUUUAUUAGUAAAUUUACUUAAGUACAGUAAGUUGAAUAAGGCAAUAGGAUGUGCACAUAUCGCCCGUCACUCUCUUCUCAAGAGGAGAUAA